UGUGUGUGUGUGUGUGUGUGUGUGUGUGUGUGUUCAUUUUUUGGUGAUAUUUUAGCCUUUGUUUAUUCGUUUGUUUGUUUGUUAUAUAGGCUCUCAUAUACGUAUAAAGGCCUUGGUGGGGUGUGUGUGUGUGUGUGUGUGUGUGUGUUAGCAAGGAUGGAGUGAAAAGAGAGAAGAAGAAUGAAAGAAAGAGAAGACCACUUUUCUCUCUUUCUUUCUCUCUUUUCCUCUUUUUUUUCUCUCCAUCUCUUCCCUCACACACUCACGCAAGGAAUAGAGAAUGAAUGAGUGAGUGAGUCAGUCAGUCAGUCAAAAAACGACUCGACUUAACCACAUUACCAGUUAGUCAGUCAAUCAAUCAGUAAGAAUCGCCAUAUAUUCAGUUAUUUCAUCAGUCAGUCAGUCAGUCAGGCAGGCAGUGCACCCCACCAAGCCUUCACACACACACACACACACACACACACACACACACACACACACACACACACACACACACACACA
rnacentral:lncRNA from 1 species